rnacentral:rRNA from 1 species
GCAAGUAAUGGGCUUGCUCAUGAUUCAGCGGCGGACGGGUGAGUAAUGCCUAGGAAUCUGCCUGGUAGUGGGGGACAACGUUUCGAAAGGAACGCUAAUACCGCAUACGUCCUACGGGAGAAAGUGGGGGAUCUUCGGACCUCACGCUAUCAGAUGAGCCUAGGUCGGAUUAGCUAGUUGGUGAGGUAAAGGCUCACCAAGGCGACGAUCCGUAACUGGUCUGAGAGGAUGAUCAGUCACACUGGAACUGAGACACGGUCCAGACUCCUACGGGAGGCAGCAGUGGGGAAUAUUGGACAAUGGGCGAAAGCCUGAUCCAGCCAUGCCGCGUGUGUGAAGAAGGUCUUCGGAUUGUAAAGCACUUUAAGUUGGGAGGAAGGGCAGUAAGUUAAUACCUUGCUGUUUUGACGUUACCAACAGAAUAAGCACCGGCUAACUUCGUGCCAGCAGCCGCGGUAAUACGAAGGGUGCAAGCGUUAAUCGGAAUUACUGGGCGUAAAGCGCGCGUAGGUGGUUCGUUAAGUUGGAUGUGAAAGCCCCGGGCUCAACCUGGGAACUGCAUCCAAAACUGGCGAGCUAGAGUAUGGCAGAGGGUGGUGGAAUUUCCUGUGUAGCGGUGAAAUGCGUAGAUAUAGGAAGGAACACCAGUGGCGAAGGCGACCACCUGGGCUAAUACUGACACUGAGUGCGAAAGCGUGGGGAGCAAACAGGAUUAGAUACCCUGGUAGUCCACGCCGUAAACGAUGUCGACUAGCCGUUUGGGAAUCCUUGAGAUCUUAGUGCGCAGCUUAACGCAUAAGUCGACGGCCUGGGGAGUACGUCGCAAGAUAAAACUUCAAAUGAGUUGACAGGUCCGCACAAAGCGGUGGAAGG